rnacentral:rRNA from 1 species
UAGAGGAAGUAAAAGUCGUAACAAGGUUUCCGUAGGUGAACCUGCGGAAGGAUCAUUACAGAGUUCAUGCCCGAAAGGGUAGACCUCCCACCCUUGUGUAUUAUUACUUUGUUGCUUUGGCGAGCUGCCUUCGGGCCUUGUAUGCUCGCCAGAGAAUACCAAAACUCUUUUUAUUAAUGUCGUCUGAGUACUAUAUAAUAGUUAAAACUUUCAACAACGGAUCUCUUGGUUCUGGCAUCGAUGAAGAACGCAGCGAAAUGCGAUAAGUAAUGUGAAUUGCAGAAUUCAGUGAAUCAUCGAAUCUUUGAACGCACAUUGCGCCCCUUGGUAUUCCGGGGGGCAUGCCUGUUCGAGCGUCAUUUCAACCCUCAAGCUUAGCUUGGUAUUGAGUCUAUGUCAGUAAUGGCAGGCUCUAAAAUCAGUGGCGGCGCCGCUGGGUCCUGAACGUAGUAAUAUCUCUCGUUACAGGUUCUCGGUGUGCUUCUGCCAAAACCCAAAUUUUUCUAUGGUUGACCUCGGAUCAGGUAGGGAUACCCGCUGAACUUAAGCAUAUCAAUAAGCGGAGGAAAAGAAACCAACAGGGAUUACCUCAGUAACGGCGAGUGAAGCGGUAAAAGCUCAAAUUUGAAAUCUGGCUCUUUUAGAGUCCGAAUUGUAAUUUGUAGAAGAUGCUUCGGGUGUGGUUCCGGUCUAAGUUCCUUGGAACAGGACGUCAUAGAGGGUGAGAAUCCCGUAUGUGACUGGAUACCUAUGCUCAUGUGAAGCUCUUUCGACGAGUCGAGUUGUUUGGGAAUGCAGCUCAAAAUGGGAGGUAUAUUUCUUCUAAAGCUAAAUAUUGGCCAGAGACCGAUAGCGCACAAGUAGAGUGAUCGAAAGAUGAAAAGCACUUUGGAAAGAGAGUUAAACAGUACGUGAAAUUGUUGAAAGGGAAGCGCUUGCAAUCAGACUUGCACUUGGUGUUCAUCAGGGUCUCGUACCCUGUGUACUUCAUCAAGUUCAGGCCAGCAUCAGUUUGAGUGGUUAGAUAAAGGCUUAGAGAAUGUGGCCCUCUUCGGGGGGUGUUAUAGCUCUAGGUGCAAUGUAGCCUACUUGGACUGAGGACCGCGCUUCGGCUAGGAUGCUGGCGUAAUGGUUGUAAGCGACCCGUCUUGAAACACGGACC